CCUAUCGUCCACCCAAACCGAUAUUGUGUGAAUGCACAUUAUCAAACAUCGGACGACACGUUGAGUGAGG
rnacentral:misc_RNA from 1 species